UACGUAGGGGGCAAGCGUUGUCCGGAUUUAUUGGGCGUAAAGAGCGUGUAGGCGGCCAGAUAGGUCUGCUGUGAAAACUCGAGGCUCAACCUCGAGCUGUCGGCGGAAACCAUUUGGCUAGAGUCCGGAAGAGGAGAGUGGAAUUCCUGGUGUAGCGGUGAAAUGCGCAGAUAUCAGGAGGAACACCGGUGGCGAAGGCGGGUCUCUGGGCAGUAACUGACGCUGAGGAGCGAAAGCGUGGGGAGCGAACAGG
rnacentral:rRNA from 1 species